rnacentral:rRNA from 1 species
GACGAACGCUGGCGGCGUGCUUAACACAUGCAAGUCGAACGGAAAGGCCCUGCUUUUGUGGGGUGCUCGAGUGGCGAACGGGUGAGUAACACGUGAGUAACCUGCCCUUGAUUUUGGGAUAACUUCAGGAAACUGGGGCUAAUACCGGAUAGGAGCUCCUGCUGCAUGGUGGGGGUUGGAAAGUUUCGGCGGUUGGGGAUGGACUCGCGGCUUAUCAGCUUGUUGGUGGGGUAGUGGCUUACCAAGGCUUUGACGGGUAGCCGGCCUGAGAGGGUGACCGGACAAAUUGGGACUGAGAUACGGCCCAGACUCCUACGGGAGGCAGCAGUGGGGAAUAUUGCACAAUGGGCGGAAGCCUGAUGCAGCAACGCCGCGUGCGGGAUGACGGCCUUCGGGUUGUAAACCGCUUUCGCCUGUGACGAAGCGUGAGUGACGGUAAUGGGUAAAGAAGCACCGGCUAACUACGUG